UACGUAGGGUGCAAGCGUUAAUCGGAAUUACUGGGCGUAAAGCGUGCGCAGGCGACUAUGCAAGACAGAUGUGAAAUCCCCGGGCUCAACCUGGGAACUGCAUUUGUGACUGCAUGGCUGGAGUACGGCAGAGGGGGAUGGAAUUCCGCGUGUAGCAGUGAAAUGCGUAGAUAUGCGGAGGAACACCGAUGGCGAAGGCAAUCCCCUGGGCCUGUACUGACGCUGAGAAGCGAAAGCAUGGGGAGCGAACAGG
rnacentral:rRNA from 1 species